CCCCCCUUAUUACAUCCAUAAUUUCGAAAUAUUUGAUGUUCUUGCAAGAACAUCAUUAAAUCUAAGGUGUUUCCAAGCUAUUUUGAUGAUCCAAAGCUCUUUUCUUGGUGAAAUAAGCUUUCAAACAUCCAAAGAAUCAUGUCAAAACCCGCUUGAAUCUUGAAGUUAUGUCUGCCUUGGAUUUCAUCAAAAGUGAUGACACUUCGGACGUACUUGAGUGCGGCUUCAGGAUUAUGGUGUAUCUUGUGUUUGUCGAUGCAUGUUUUGUCACUUAAAAUGUUGGACUGACUUUUAAACUUUCUGGGACUAAAAUGUAAUAAGAUCCGUGAGGAUAAAAAGACUACUUUAUUUUGUCAUGGUUA
rnacentral:lncRNA from 1 species